rnacentral:rRNA from 1 species
GAUGAACGCUGGCGGCGUGCUUAACACAUGCAAGUCGAACGAGAAGUGAAGACGGAAACCUUCUGGCGGAAGGCUUUAUUUCGAGUGGCGGACGGGUGAGUAACGCGUGGGUAACCUGCCUCAUACAGGGGGAUAACAGUUGGAAACUACUGUUAAUACCGCAUAAGACCACAGCACCGCAUGGUGCGGGGGUAAAAACUCCGGUGGUAUGAGAUGGACCCGCGUUCGAUUAGCCAGUUGGCGGGGUAACGGCCCACCAAAGCGACGAUCGAUAGCCGAUCUGAGAGGAUGACCGGCCACAUUGGGACUGAGACACGGCCCAAACUCCUACGGGAGGCAGCAGUGGGGAAUAUAGCAAAAUGGGGGAAACCAUGAAGCAGCGACGCCGCGUGAGUGAAGAAGUAUUGCGGUAUGUAAAGCUCUAUCAGCAGGGAAGAAAAUGACGGUACCUGAGGAAGAAGCCCCGGCUAACUACGUG